UACGUAGGGUGCGAGCGUUGUCCGGAAUUAUUGGGCGUAAAGAGCUCGUAGGCGGUGUGUCACGUCGAUCGUGAAAACUUACAGCUUAACUGUGAGCGUGCGGUCGAUACGGGCAUCACUGGAGUUCGGCAGGGGAGACUGGAAUUCCUGGUGUAGCGGUGAAAUGCGCAGAUAUCAGGAGGAACACCGGUGGCGAAGGCGGGUCUCUGGGCCGAUACUGGCGCUGAGGAGCGAAAGCGUGGGGAGCGAACAGG
rnacentral:rRNA from 1 species